CCUACGGGAGGCAGCAGUGGGGAAUAUUGGACAAUGGGCGAAAGCCUGAUCCAGCCAUGCCGCGUGUGUGAAGAAGGCCUUCGGGUUGUAAAGCACUUUCAGUGGGGAAGAAAGCCUUGGGGCUAAUACCCUCGAGGAAGGACAUCACCCACAGAAGAAGCACCGGCUAACUCCGUGCCAGCAGCCGCGGUAAUACGGAGGGUGCGAGCGUUAAUCGGAAUUACUGGGCGUAAAGCGCGCGUAGGCGGUCUGAUAAGCCGGUUGUGAAAGCCCCGGGCUCAACCUGGGAACGGCAUCCGGAACUGUCAGGCUAGAGUGCAGGAGAGGAAGGUAGAAUUCCCGGUGUAGCGGUGAAAUGCGUAGAGAUCGGGAGGAAUACCAGUGGCGAAGGCGGCCUUCUGGACUGACACUGACGCUGAGGUGCGAAAGCGUGGGUAGCAAACAGGACUAGAUACCCUAGUAGUC
rnacentral:rRNA from 1 species